rnacentral:rRNA from 1 species
UUAAAUUGAGAGUUUGAUCCUGGCUCAGGACGAACGCUGGCGGCGUGCUUAACACAUGCAAGUCGAACGGGAUUUAGUAGACAGAAGCCUCGGUGGAAGAUUACUAA